UACGGAGGGUGCGAGCGUUAAUCGGAAUUACUGGGCGUAAAGGGUGCGUAGGUGGUUUAAUAAGUUAUGUGUAAAAUCCCUGGGCUUAACCUGGGAAGGUCAGAUAAGACUGUUAGACUCGAGUAUAGGAGAGGGUAGUGGAAUUUCCGGUGUAGCGGUGAAAUGCGCAGAUAUCGGGAGGAACACCUAUGGCGAAGGCAGCUCGCUGGGACGUUACUGACGCUGAGACGCGAAAGCGUGGGGAGCAAACAGG
rnacentral:rRNA from 1 species